rnacentral:rRNA from 1 species
GAGAAGUAAUUCACCUUUUGUUCUAGCGGCGGACGGGUGAGUAACGCGUGAGCAACCUGUCCUUGUCUGGGGGAUAAGGAGCCGAAAGGCUCUCUAAUACCGCAUGAGACCACGGGAUCACAUGGUUCUGAGGUCAAAGGAUUUCGGUCCGGACAGGGGUGGGCUCGCGUCUGAUUAGCUAGUUGGUUUGGUAAGGGCUCACUCAGGCAACGAUCAGUAGGCGACCUGAGAGGGUGAUCGGUCACAUUUGAACUGAGACACGGUUCCAACUCCUACGGGAGGCAGCAGUGGGGAUAUUGGGCAAUGGGCGAAGCCUGACCCAGCAACGCCGCGGAAGGAAGAAGGCUUUCGGGUCGUAACUUCUAUCCCAGAUGAAGAUAAUGACGGUAAUCUGGAAGGAAGCCCCGGCUAACUACGUGCCAGCAGCCGCGGUAAUACGUAGGGGGCAAGCGUUGUCCGGAAUGAUUGGGCGUAAAGGGCGCGUAGGCGGCCUUUUAAGUCCGAUGUGAAAGUCCUGCUUUUAAGGUGGGAAUUGCAUUGGAAACUGGAAGGCUUGAGUGCAGGAGAGGUAAGUGGAAUUCCCGGUGUAGCGGUGAAAUGCGUAGAGAUCGGGGGGAACACCAGUGGCGAAGGCGACUUACUGGACUGUAACUGACGCUGAGGCGCGAAAGUGUGGGGAGCAAACAGGAUUAGAUACCCUGGUAGUCCACACGGUAAACGAUGAGUGCUAGGUGUAGGAGGUAUCGACCCCUUCUGUGCCGGAGUCAACACAAUAAGCACUCCGCCUGGGGAGUACGGCCGCAAGGUUGAAACUCAAAGGAAUUGACGGGGCCCGCACAAGCAGCGGAGCAUGUUGUUUAAUUCGAAGCAACGCGAAGAACCUUACCAGGUCUUGACAUCCAGUAAAAACUGUAGAGAUACAGUGUGACUUCGGUCAUACUGAGACAGGUGGUGUAUGGUUGUCGUCAGCUCGUGUCGUGAGAUGUUGGGUUAAGUCCCGCAACGAGCGCAACCCUUGUGAUUAGUUACUAACGCGUAGAGGCGAGGACUCUAAUAAGACUGCCGGGACACUCGGAGAAGGUGGGGACGACGUCAAUCAUCAUGCCCCUUAUGACUGGUACUAACGUGCUACCAUUGCCACUACAGAGAGCUGCGAACUCGUAGGGUUAAGCGAAUCUCUUAAACGUGGUCCCAGUUCGGAUUGUGGGCUGCAACCCGCCCACAUGAAGUCGGAGUUGCUAGUAAUCGCGAAUCAGCAUGUCGCGGUGAAUACGUUCCCGGGCCUUGUACACACCGCCCGUCACACCAUGGGAGUUGAUAGCGCCCGAAGUCGGUGAGGCAACCGUAAGGAGUCAGCCGCCGAAGGUGAGAUCAAUGACUGGGGGAAGUCGUAACAAGGUAACC